ACUGAGGUAGAGAGAGGUAACAUGACUUACCCGAGGUCCCUCAGCCAGGGCAGAGCAGAGCAGAGCAGGGACUCUGGGCUAGGGCCAUAGGGGCAUCUUUCAGUGAAACCAUUAGGCCCUAGAGUCCUGAGAGUGUGGGGGACUGGGUGGGGGUCCCUUCCACACAUAUAAACACACUCACAGACCCACAGAUGUACACAGAUGGAGACACGCGGAGGGAUAUACGCACAUCUAUUCAUGACACAAAAAUUCAUAGAUGCACGCCCUUCCUACACAGACACACACACGAACACACAUACACAUACAUGCCAACUCUGAGCCUGUGAGCCCAGGGUCCUGGGCUUAAGUCAGUACAUAGGUGCAAUGUGGGGCUCCGGGCCUGUCUCCUACACCAGAAGGCCCAGGUGGGGUACCGGGUGUGGAGGGGGCAGCAUGUCCAGUCCUGCGAGGCAGGGGUAGGGUGGCCUCUCCCUUCCUCCUGUCCCUGCCACCUGAAUCCCAGGCCACCAACCACCCAGCACUGAUGCUGUGCCUGUCCACACACCUGGUGUCACCCUGCGUGGUCCCUCCCCUCCCCAGCUCUGUGGGCCCCUCACCUUCUGCUCACUGAUCACCCUCUGGCCGAUGAGGCCCUGCAGGCCUGGCCUCGGAGCAGGGUAGGUGGCUCAGGCUGCAGGGAGCCAGGCCCAGCUCUUAGGGUGGACACUGUCACUAGGUCAUUUAUAGAUCCCGGUCCCCUGUCCUGGAGGCCCCCGCUUACCUUUGGGAGCGGCAGAUAGGUGCCGGGCCUGCACACAGGCCUCAGGAGCCUCUGUUUGUCCAGGCCAAGGCCUCCCCACCCCCACCCAGCCAGCCCAGGCUGGAUCAAUGGCCUAGAGCCAUGACCAGGGUGUCUGGCCCUUGUCCCCUGUGGCCUGUGGCCUCAGGCUCCAUGGAACUCCUCCUGCUGGGUCCUGGACAGCACUGUGACUAAGUACAGGUAAACAGGCAGGAGGUAGGAGAAGGCAGUGCCUGCCCCGCCCCAUCUUCCCCCACCCCCGCAUGGGCACCCCAGAGGCUGGCAGGCAGGUGCGGGAGAUCUGAGCUCUCCCCCGAGGCCCGUUGCCUGGUGACAUGCCUGCCUGGUUACAGCCCCUGGUCCCCGAGAGCAUGAGGUAGGGACAGCCAAGGACUGGGGACUGUGCAGAGGCCGGUGCAGGAUUACAGGCAUGAGCGACCGCACGCAGCAUGAAUUCCUACCUGGUUCCGUAGCGCUGUGCUGUCCAUGACGGUAGCCGCUGGUCACCCGUGGCUCUUGAGUCAGUCUGAACUGAGAAAAGCUGCACGGGGGAGACGCACACCAGGUUUCCAAGGCCAAGUGCAAACAGGAUGUCAACCAACGCGAUAACAAUUUUUAUAUUGAUUUUAUGUUGAAAUAACACUGGUGAUCAUGGGAUAAAUAAAAUGUAUUAUUAAAAGCAAUUUUCUUCUGGCUCUCUUGUUUUUUUUUUUU
rnacentral:lncRNA from 1 species